UAGGGAAUCUUCCGCAAUGGACGCAAGUCUGACGGAGCAACGCCGCGUGAGUGAAGAAGGAUUUCGGUUCGUAAAACUCUGUUGUUAGAGAAGAACAGCGCAUAGAGUAACUGUUAUGCGUGUGACGGUAUCUAACCAGAAAGCCACGGCUAACUACGUGCCAGCAGCCGCGGUAAUACGUAGGUGGCAAGAGUUGUCCGGAUUUAUCUGGCGUAAAGCGAGCGCAGGCGGUCAAUUAAGUCUGAUGUGAAAGCCCCCGGCCCAACCGGGGAGGGUCAUUGGAAACUGGUUGACUUGAGUGCAGAAGAGGAGAGUGGAAUUCCAUGUGUAGCGGUGAAAUGCGUAGAUAUAUGGAGGAACCCCAGUGGCGAAGGCGACUCUCUGGUCUGUAACUGACGCUGAGGCUCGAAAGCGUGGGUAGCAAACAGG
rnacentral:rRNA from 1 species